rnacentral:rRNA from 1 species
UACGAAGGGUGCAAACGUUGCUCGGAAUCAUUGGGCGUAAAGCGCACGUAGGCGGCCCAGCAAGUUGGAUGUGAAAUCCCUCGGCUCAACCAAGGAAGUGCAUCCGAAACUGCUGAGCUUGAGUACUUAAGAGGAUCGCGGAAUUCCCGGUGUAGAGGUGAAAUUCGUAGAUAUCGGGAGGAACACCAGUGGCGAAGGCGGCGAUCUGGGAAGAUACUGACGCUGAGGUGCGAAAGCGUGGGGAGCAAACAGGG